rnacentral:rRNA from 1 species
CGGGAAACUGAGGAUAAUGUUUCAUAAUUGAAUUGGCUUGGAAAAGUUUUUCAAUGAAAAGGAUAAAAAAAAUGGUUUUUAUCUGCUAUAGGAUAGGAUCGUGUUCGAUUAUGGUUGUUGGUGAGAUAAUGGCUCACCAAGCCGAUAAUCGAUAGGGGCCGUGAGAGCGGGAGCCCCGAGAUGGGUACUGAGACAACGACCCAGGCCUUACGAGGCGCAGCAGGCGCGGAACCUCCGCAAUACACGAAAGUGUGACGGGGUUACCCAAAGUGUUCAAUAGAACUGUGGUAGGUGAGUAAUGUCCCCUACUAGAAAGGAGAGGGCAAGGCUGGUGCCAGCCGCCGCGGUAAAACCAGCUCUUCAAGUGGUCGGGAUAAUUAUUGGGCUUAAAGUGUCCGUAGCCGGUUUAGUAAGUUCCUGGUAAAAUCGGGUAGCUUAACUAUCUGCAUGCUAGGAAUACUGCUAUACUAGAGGGCGGGAGAGGUCUGAGGUACUACAGGGGUAGGGGUGAAAUCUUAUAAUCCUUGUAGGACCACCAGUGGCGAAGGCGUCAGACUGGAACGCGCCUGACGGUGAGGGACGAAAGCCAGGGGAGCGAACCGGAUUAGAUACCCGGGUAGUCCUGGCCGUAAACGAUGCAUACUAGGUGAUGGUACGGCCAUGAGCCGUAUCAGUGCCGUAGGGAAACCGUUAAGUGUGCCGCCUGGGAAGUACGGUCGCAAGGCUAAAACUUAA